GCUAGUGUUGUUUUCAAAACCCCUUAUGCUACCAGUUCUGGAUGCUUGUCUUAUAGCCUGAAAGUGCUCGAUUGAUGCCCACCGGAAGUGCUCGAUUUCAUGAAGAUCAAAAUUUGGUUCAUUUUUGGUAUGGUUCCCUCAUUUAAAAAAUUUACAGGCACGCUUCUUCUUCCAACAACUUAUAUCAGGUGUUAGUUAUUGUCAUGCAAUGAGAAAGUUUGAUUGGUGUUAGCAAAAUGACCCUUAUACGGUUGGAGAACGUUGUUAUGUGCUUCAUUUUCUCCCCACACUCGCAGACAUUUGCAGCGCAAUGACAGAGGGUGUCGCGGUCGCCAAGUUGUGGAGGAUGAGAUGCAUCCCUAAUACUACAGAUACAAGAGGUUCUUGUGAUUAAUGUCAGAAUGUUCACAGACCGCUGUCCGCUGUUUGGAUACGAGAAUUCUGUUGAUGUACUUCAAAUUUAUAUUGGUGAUGAUUGAAUUGAUGAGUAUGCUUUAAGGUUUUUGGAAAGACACUUCAAAGGAUUGUGAUUCUUGUUUCUAGAGUUCCAAAGGAGACAAGCUUCCUACAAGUUCCUUGCAAUAUCCAUUUGAGGCAAGCCAUGAAGAGGGCAAAUGAAUAUGGUGCAGUAGAAAUUUGGAUGAAUGAGAGAGUAUGAAGAGCUUGUGCAAACAACUGUGCAUAUUUUGUUUAUGGCUUUCUUGAGAGCUCCACUAUGAAGGCUGCUGAAUACUGAUUCAUAUGGCAGUUUGAGGGGAUUCCACCUUAUCUAAUUUGAUGCAGAGUAGAGAGCUUCCAAUGUAGAAACAUUGAUUUUGGCGGUAAGGUCAAAGACUUGCCCAAGGGAUUGGAAAGAGAAAAUAGAAUAAUUCAAACAAUUGUGAGGGAGCUCUUAUUUGCAUUGGGACGUAUGAUUUUCAUGAUCACAUGCAAAUUGGGAGAGGUUCCUUAAAAGGGGUGAUUUUUAAGUAUAAGGCAAUUUCAGAUUCCUAACUAAUUUAUGGAAAGAAUAAAUGGAUAGAGAUUGUCGACAUUAGGAUACUGUAACCAAUAGGUAGAAUAGUUGUCAUUAGACGGUGUUGAAUAAAAUGUUGGUGGGAUGAGGUGCUGCCAUGGAAGAGGAGGCGAUCAGUAGUGGAAGGACAGAAAUCGUGCUUGCUCUGGAUAGAACUCACCGAAGAUAUCACCUGCAAUGCCCAUUCUUUAUUUAUCGAUAUACUGCACCAGAACAGUACAUCAUGAGCACACAAAUCUCAUAUGUAUCUUCAGCCCCAGUUGUAAAACUGCAUUGUCCCCAAUCUUAUGGCAGGAUUUGAUAUUUAUAGUGCUGGACUGCUGGUCUAAUCUUUCUUCAAAUGGUGGAAAAGAGAUAAGGAGCGGAACAAGAGAAGAGUACUCAAUAGAGAAAAAAUCAUAAAAAGUAUGACACAAUUGUAUUGGCAGGUGAGUGAGAAAAUUAAAAAGAAAAAGUAAGAUUCUUAUGUUGAAUAUUCACUAGUUUGCCAUUUUCCCCAUUUAGUUAAUUGUUCUCUUAUUUUCUCCGUUUACAACUGUAUUGUUUGUUAUAGUACGUCUGUAUUAGGAGUUCUCAUUUUAAUCUCACACGUUGUUACAUCUUCUAGUGUGGUUUUCUUUUGUGAAAAGGUGGAAAAGAGAUAAGGAGUGGAACAAGAGAAGAGUACUCAAUAGAGAAAAAAUCAUAAAAAGUAUGACACAAUUGUAUUGGCAGGUGAGUGAGAAAAUUAAAAAGAAAAAGUAAGAUUCUCAUGUUGAAUAUUCACUAGUUUGCCAUUUUCCCCAUUUAGUUAAUUGUUCUCUUAUUUUCUCCUUUUACAAUUGUAUUGUUUGUUAUAGUACGUCUGUAUUAGGAGUUCUCAUUGUAAUUUUUCUUUUUAGAUUGUAUCUAGGAUCAAAUCUGUGUACUUUGUAGUUCCUUUGUAUUAGGAUAUAGUUUUGUACUUUUCUUUUUCUCUUGUAAGUGGACUUUGGACAUUCUUUGGGACCCUUUGGUUCAUCCUUACAUAUUUGCUUUGCUUGUUUGUGCAUCAUUAUAAAUAGGAUCUUUUGGAUGAUCCUCUAGGCUAGAUUUAGGACCCUUUGGAGUGGUUCAUCUUACAUAUUUGCUUACCUUUUGCUUUUUUGUCUGCAUCAUAUCUUCUUGUGAUGGCUAGUUGUUUGGGAGCAAUUCUUCACUUUCCCCUAUAUCGAACAUAUUCA